AUGAGAUGUUGCAAGAUUGAUUUGAGUUGUUCUCAUUUAUGGUUUUCAGACUAUUCUAUCCUGAAGUAUUGGUUUAUUACCGAGGAAGCCUUAAACAGAGAAGCUGAAUGCAGUUUUUGUAUCUUUCGUCAAAGUCCUGAACGGUCCAAUGAAAAUCUUGUAUUGCAUGCUUCUUCGCCUAUGACCGGCAGAACACAAUGUAUAGGAUGUUUGUACAAAGAGCUACAAGGAGAGCACUCUUCAACGAUGGCAAUAUCCAAUGAAGCUGCAAAUUGUUGGGUGUAUGUAUAUGUGUACCGAAGUUGA
rnacentral:rRNA from 1 species